UAACCUGGUUGAUCCUGCCAGUUUGUCAUAUGCUUCUUUCAAGGACUAAGCCAUGCAAAUGUCAGUGGACCUGAGUUUACUCGGGGGGACUGUGUACGGCUCAUUAAACGGUUAAUAGUCUACCCAACAAAGUGUGUUCUCGGACACACCGACGGGAUAACCGCGCGAAACGCGCAGCUAAUACCUGGAAGAC
rnacentral:rRNA from 1 species